UGGUACACUCUUCCUAAACUGGCAAGUAGGAAACAUUUGUGUAUAUAUAUAACUGUUUCAUACUCGCCAGUUUAGGAAGAGUGU
ensembl:miRNA eel-mir-11056 eel-mir-11056